rnacentral:rRNA from 1 species
GAGUUUGAUCGUGGCUCAGGAUGAACGCUGGCGGCGUGCUUAACACAUGCAAGUCGAACGAAGCGCCUUAUUUGAUUUUCUUCGGAACUGAAGAUUUGGUGACUGAGUGGCGGACGGGUGAGUAACGCGUGGGUAACCUGCCCUGUACAGGGGGAUAACAAUCAGAAAUGACUGCUAAUACCGCAUAAGACCACAGCACCGCAUGGUGCAGGGGUAAAAACUCCGGUGGUACAGGAUGGACCCGCGUCUGAUUAGCUGGUUGGUGAGGUAACGGCUCACCAAGGCGACGAUCAGUAGCCGGCUUGAGAGAGUGAACGGCCACAUUGGGACUGAGACACGGCCCAAAACUCCUACGGGAGGCAGCAGUGGGGAAUAUUGCACAAUGGGGAAACCCGUACGAUGCAGCAACGACCGCGU